rnacentral:pre_miRNA from 1 species
GAAGUACUCCCUCCAUUCCAAAUUACUCGUCGCAGAAAUGGAUGUAUCUAGAACUAAAAUACAUCUAGAUACAUCCAUACCUGCGACAAGUAAUUCGGAACGGAGGGAGUACUAG